GACGAACGCUGGCGGCGUGCUUAACACAUGCAAGUCGAACGGAGAAUUAAUUUCGGUAAAUUCUUAGUGGCGAACGGGUGAGUAACGCGUGGGCAACCUGCCCUUCAGAUGGGGACAACAUCCCGAAAGGGGUGCUAAUACCGAAUACGAUCACGCUGCCGCAUGGCGGUGGGAUGAAAGAUGGCCUCUAUUUAUAAGCUAUCGCUGAAGGAUGGGCCUGCGUCUGGUUAGCUAGUUGGGGGGGUAACGGCCUACGAAGGCGAUGAUCAGUAGCGGGUCUGAGAGGAUGAUCAGCCACACUGGGAGUGAGAACGGCCCAGACUCAUACGGGGGGAAGCAGUGAGGAAUCUUCGUCAAUGGGGGCAACCCUGAACGAGCAACGCCGCGUGGAGGACGACGGUCUUCGGAUUGUAAACCUCUUUCAGGAGGGACGAAGCUACUCGGGUGAAUAGCCCAGAGGGUGACGGUACCUCCAGAAGAAGCCCCGGCUAACUACGUGCCAGCCGCCGCCGUAAGAC
rnacentral:rRNA from 1 species